CACGUAGGGUGCGAGCGUUGUCCGGAAUUAUUGGGCGUAAAGAGCUCGUAGGCGGUGUGUCGCGUCGGCCGUGAAAACCUGCAGCUUAACUGUGGGCUUGCGGUCGAUACGGGCAUCACUGGAGUUCGGCAGGGGAGACUGGAAUUCCUGGUGUAGCGGUGAAAUGCGCAGAUAUCUGGAGGAACACCGGUGGCGAAGGCGGCGUCCUGGACCAACACUGACACUGAUGAGCGAAAGCCAGGGGAGCAAACGGG
rnacentral:rRNA from 1 species